AUUGAACGCUGGCGGCAUGCCUAACACAUGCAAGUCGAACGAGAUCUUCGGAUCUAGUGGCGCACGGGUGCGUAACACGUGGGAAUCUGCCCUUGGGUUCGGAAUAACUCUCCGAAAGGAGUGCUAAUACCGGAUGAUGUCGAAAGACCAAAGAUUUAUCGCCCAGGGAUGAGCCCGCGUAGGAUUAGCUAGUUGGUGAGGUAAAGGCUCACCAAGGCGACGAUCCUUAGCUGGUCUGAGAGGAUGAUCAGCCACACUGGGACUGAGACACGGCCCAGACUCCUACGGGAGGCAGCAGUGAGGAAUAUUGGACAAUGGGCGAAAGCCUGAUCCAGCAAUGCCGCGUGAGUGAUGAAGGCCUUAGGGUUGUAAAGCUCUUUUACCCGGGAUGAUAAUGACGGUACCUGAAGAAUAAGCACCGGCUAACUACGUGCCAGCCGCCGCCGUAACAC
rnacentral:rRNA from 1 species